UACGUAGGGACCAAGCGUUGUUCGGAUUUACUGGGCGUAAAGGGCGCGUAGGCGGCGCGGUAAGUCACUUGUGAAAUCUCUGAGCUUAACUCAGAACGGCCAAGUGAUACUGCAGUGCUAGAGUGUGGAAGGGGCAAUCGGAAUUCUUGGUGUAGCGGUGAAAUGCGUAGAUAUCUGGAGGAACACCGGUGGCGAAGGCGGCGUUCUGGACUGCAACUGACACUGAUGAACGAAAGCCAGGGGAGCAAACGGG
rnacentral:rRNA from 1 species